AAUUGACAAACCCUAACAGCCUAACUCCCUCCCUAACUCAGCACGCAGCAGCCACCCCACCCCAAUCUAUCAUCUCUCUCUCGGUUGCCGGCGACCGGCGACACGCACUCCGGCGCGACGGCACACUCCGAUACGACGGCGGCUCAUCUUUCCAGCGAAGAUCCGACGAUCUUAACAGCAGCAGCAGUGCAGCACGGUCCGGCGCGACAUUAGCAUCAUCUGCCACCACCGGUCACCGGGCACCGGGCACCGGGUGCUUCCCAGCUCGGCGCGACAACAGCAGCGACACCAACGGCUCUCCACUCCUCGGCGCGAUAGCAGCAGUGCAGCACGAUCUGCCAUUUAAGCCCUUAACACGGUGUUCGACUGUUGGUAUUGGAGAGACGACUUCAUGUUGUAGGCUUGUGGCACUAUCUAUAAGAAGAAGCUGCAAAUUUAUGUUUUUAUGUUGUAUUUCAUAUUUUCAUUCAAGACUUGUUACUUUUUUAUGUUAUAUUUCAUAUUUUCAUUCUAGACUUCUUAUAUGCAGCCUUUUUCA